GGUAGUCCACGCCGUAAACGAUGAUAACUAGCUGUCGGGGCUCUUAGAGCUUCGGUGGCGCAGCUAACGCAUUAAGUUAUCCGCCUGGGGAGUACGGCCGCAAGGUUAAAACUCAAAUGAAUUGACGGGGGCCUGCACAAGCGGUGGAGCAUGUGGUUUAAUUCGAAGCAACGCGCAGAACCUUACCAGCGUUUGACAUGUCCGGACGAUUUCGGGAGACCGAUCUCUUCCCUUCGGGGACUGGAACACAGGUGCUGCAUGGCUGCCGUCAGCUCGUGUCGUGAGAUGUUGGGUUAAGUCCCGCAACGAGCGCAACCCUCGUCCUUAGUUGCCAUCAUUUAGUUGGGCACUCUAAGGAAACCGCCGGUGAUAAGCCGGAGGAAGGUGGGGAUGACGUCAAGUCCUCAUGGCCCUUACGCGCUGGGCUACACACGUGCUACAAUGGCGGUGACAGUGGGCAGCAAUCUCGCAAGGGUGAGCUAAUCUCCAAAAGCCGUCUCAGUUCGGAUUGUUCUCUGCAACUCGAGAGCAUGAAGGCGGAAUCGCUAGUAAUCGCGGAUCAGCAUGCCGCGGUGAAUACGUUCCCAGGCCUUGUACACACCGCCCGUCACACCAUGGGAGUUGGAUUCACCCGAAGGCAGUGCGCUAACCGCAAGGAGGCAGCUGACCACGGUGGGUUCAGCGACUGGGGUGAAGUCGUAACAAGGUAACC
rnacentral:rRNA from 1 species